rnacentral:snRNA from 1 species
AUCGCUUCUUGGCCUUUUGGCUAAGAUCAAGUGUAGAAAAUCAAAAAAGAAACAUUGAAUUUAAUCUGCACUUUAGACUAAAUGGACCUAAAAGACAUUUACAGCACAUUUUAUCCAAGAGCUACAGAAUUCACAUUCUUUUCAUUAGCACAUGAAAU